AGUUUGAUCCUGGCUCAGGAUGAACGCUAGCUACAGGCUUAACACAUGCAAGUCGAGGGGAAACGAUAUUGGAAGCUUGCUUCCGAUAGGCGUCGACCGGCGCACGGGUGAGUAACGCGUAUCCAACCUGCCCACCACUUGGGGAUAACCUUGCGAAAGUAAGACUAAUACCCAAUGAUAUCUCUAGAAGACAUCUGAAAGGGAUUAAAGAUUUAUCGGUGAUGGAUGGGGAUGCGUCUGAUUAGCUUGUUGGCGGGGUAACGGCCCACCAAGGCGACGAUCAGUAGGGGUUCUGAGAGGAAGGUCCCCCACAUUGGAACUGAGACACGGUCCAAACUCCUACGGGAGGCAGCAGUGAGGAAUAUUGGUCAAUGGGCGAGAGCCUGAACCAGCCAAGUAGCGUGCAGGAUGACGGCCCUAUGGGUUGUAAACUGCUUUUAUAAGGGAAUAAAGUGAGCCUCGUGAGGCUUUUUGCAUGUACCUUAUGAAUAAGGACCGGCUAAUUCCGUGCCAGCAGCCGCGGUAAUACGGAAGGUCCGGGCGUUAUCCGGAUUUAUUGGGUUUAAAGGGAGCGUAGGCCGGAGAUUAAGCGUGUUGUGAAAUGUAGAUGCUCAACAUCUGCACUGCAGCGCGAACUGGUUUCCUUGAGUACGCACAAAGUGGGCGGAAUUCGUGGUGUAGCGGUGAAAUGCUUAGAUAUCACGAAGAACUCCGAUUGCGAAGGCAGCUCACUGGAGCGCAACUGACGCUGAAGCUCGAAAGUGCGGGUAUCGAACAGGAUUAGAUACCCUGGUAGUCCGCACGGUAAACGAUGGAUGCCCGCUGUUGGUCUGAAUAGGUCAGCGGCCAAGCGAAAGCAUUAAGCAUCCCACCUGGGGAGUACGCCGGCAACGGUGAAACUCAAAGGAAUUGACGG
rnacentral:rRNA from 1 species